CAAAGGAGGCAAUCCUGGGAUGCGGCAUGUCGCUUAGGUGCAUUCUCCUCCACACACUCACCGAAGUACGCGCACACAGCCGUUGUUGUUUUUUGUUCGCCGUCUCUCUUCCCCGUAGUAUAUUUCUCUGCUGGUGUCACGCCCCCUCUCCCCCCCCCACCUCACAUAUCAAACCGCGAGCAGGUCUCAAGCGCAAGAUGAUGAUAGCGAGAUGUGGGGAAGGCUUGUGUGUGUGUAUGUGUGUGUGUGUGUUCUUUCGACGUGAGUCCAUGUCUGUGGCAUGCAGCGCAAGGUCCUACGCGACUUAAUACCGCGCUAGGGCAAUGCGCCGACCCAGCCGUCGGAGAGCACGGCCCCCUGCCUCGAAUUCGACCCACGCACCUCUCUCUCCGCAGGUCGCCUCACCGCCGCUCCCGCAUCAUGCCGGUCGCCGCCUGGCGCAUCCUCCCCUCGGGGAGGCCGGAGCCACCGCGAGGGGAGGAUGCGCCAGGCGGCGACCGGCAUGAUGCGGGAGCGGCGGUGAGGCGUGUCUAGGGCUGCUUCGCGCCACGCGAUGUAGGGCCUGUGACAGGCCUGGCCGAGUGGUGUUCAGCGCAUGAUAUAUAUAUAUAUAUAUAUAUAUGCGCCAGAAUGGACAAGUUGAAGCAAAGAAUCUUUCUGCGGACCUCGCCCGUGACCAUGCGGUUCAGCAAAGUGCUUAGGCUUCAUUCCCUCGUCCACUACGUGGCCGACUUUCUCCACAGCAAAUUCGGCGCAAAUCCCAACCAGGUGACAACCACGGAGGGCGAAGAUGUUACUCACGACAGCGAUGCGGCGGGCACCGUGCACUUCGCCCCGGCGUUUCCGGGAGCCACAUCGGUGCUCAUUAAGGACACAGUGCAGAUAAAGGUGCAAAUGUACGCGUAUGUCAUGGGGGUCAGCAAAAAUGCCCUCGUUCCCUAUCUCCCCCCAUCGACACGGCUACUGUCGUCCGGUCAACUACAUCGAUGUUCCGCCGCCGAAUAUGCAGAGCUGCUGCUUCUCCAUGCGCUAUCACACGGAAAGCAAGUCGAUGGCGCAAAGCUACUUCCACUCCUCUGAGACUGGUGCAGUGAAGAACCUUCCUAUCUGACAACCUCCCUCGUACCACAAGUCAAACAGAGCCACACGGCGCUACCCUGAGCCCCACCUCGAGAACGGCCGCGGCGGAAACGAAAGUGAAUAGGCUUAUCAGGGCAAGGGGAACAUCGCCGACGCCAAGAUGACAGAGAUGAUCAUCUCUAUAGACAACGCUAUGAUGUACAUCUACGACAACGUACUGGAUCCGCUCGGCUACAAAAGGAGACUGGACCCAAGACGUGAUAUCAUACAUGGAUGCUAAUUACCGCAUCUUCCCCGAGGACGCCAACCGCACCAUGGCUGGCCUCCCCAUGGGAUCGGCCCAGGCCAGUGCGUAGCCAUGCAGCACCCAGAGUUGCUCCCGGCCGUUAGCAUCCUCUGCACCUUAUUGCAAAUUGAAACGCAGACUUCCAGGAGGGGUGUGCUUCACUAAGCUCGGGCGAACCCACAUCCGCACCACGAAGCCAUGAAACUCGUUUUUCGCGCCAUCGUCGAUGUGGGUCGCUCCCAGCCCACCUUUGACGAGAGCAGAGUUCCCGGCGGGAUCACGUUCAGAGAGGACGCCCGGAAGACACACAACGGCCAGGCGCGCCGCCAGCAGGUGCGCCAUCGACUUUCCGCCCCCCCCCUUCAACCCUCCCCCCAAGCGAGCCGAAACACGCGGUGGGUUGGAAUCGAAAAAGGGGGGGUGUCCCCCACCCCACCCCCGCGAAAAGAGCCCGCCACCCGAAAACCACGCCACAAACAAAACGCACCGGCCGAGCCCUGGGCCCAUGGGGACGCCAGGCCGCCAAAAAAACGACACGCGCCGCCUUCCUGCCGCAACGCCCGAACGAAGGCGUUGGAAGCAGUCGCCCC
rnacentral:sRNA from 2 species